rnacentral:misc_RNA from 1 species
UCCGGUUUGUCACUGGCAGUCUCCUAUGAGUCCCCGACAUCACUCGAUGGCAACACAGGACAGGGGUUGCGCUCGUUGCGGGACUUAACCCAACAUCUCACGACACGAGCUGACGACAGCCUUGCAGCACCUCGACUGGACCCCCUUGCGGGGUAGCGAUGUUUCCACCGCCGUUGACCAGCCGUUCGAGCCCAGGUAAGGUUCUUCGCGUUGCGUCGAAUUGAACCACAUGCUCCACCGCUUGUGCGGGCCCCCGUCAAUUCCUUUGAGUUUCAGCCUUGCGGCCGUACUCCCCAGGCGGGGCACUUAUCGCGUUAGCUGCGGCACCGAAGGGGUCGCUCCCCCCGGCACCUAGUGCCCAUCGUUUACGGCGUGGACUAC